ACGGGUGAGUAAUGUCUGGGGAUCUGCCCGAUAGAGGGGGAUAACCACUGGAAACGGUGGCUAAUACCGCAUAACGUCGCAAGACCAAAGAGGGGGACCUUCGGGCCUCUCACUAUCGGAUGAACCCAGAUGGGAUUAGCUAGUAGGCGGGGUAACGGCCCACCUAGGCGACGAUCCCUAGCUGGUCUGAGAGGAUGACCAGCCACACUGGAACUGAGACACGGUCCAGACUCCUACGGGAGGCAGCAGUGGGGAAUAUUGCACAAUGGGCGCAAGCCUGAUGCAGCCAUGCCGCGUGUAUGAAGAAGGCCUUCGGGUUGUAAAGUACUUUCAGCGGGGAGGAAGGCAGUGAGGUUAAUAACCUUACUGAUUGACGUUACCCGCAGGAGAAGCACCGGCUAACUCCGUGCCAGCAGCCGCGGUAAUACGGAGGGUGCAAGCGUUAAUCGGAAUUACUGGGCGUAAAGCGCACGCAGGCGGUCUGUUAAGUCAGAUGUGAAAUCCCCGGGCUUAACCUGGGAACUGCAUUUGAAACUGGCAGGCUUGAGUCUCGUAGAGGGGGGUAGAAUUCCAGGUGUAGC
rnacentral:rRNA from 1 species